rnacentral:misc_RNA from 1 species
AACGCAACUUGCACCCUUUGGUAUUCCGAGGGGUACACCUGUUUGAGCGUCGUGAAUAUUCUCAACCCAAAGUUCUUAUGAGCGUUGGGUUUGGACUUGGAGGCUUUGCUGGAUCACUUCGGCUCCUCUUGAAUGCAUUAGCGAAGACCCUUUGCGUGGCCUUGACGUGAUAAUGAUUGUCUACGUCGUACAGGCUUGGCUCAGAUUGUGAAUCGCUUCCAAUCGUCACCCAUUCGAAAGAAGGGGACAAAUCUCUUGCAAGUCUUUUAUUAGACUUGAAAGAAAAUCGACCUUGACCUCAAAUCAGGUGGGACUACCCGCUGAACUUAA